rnacentral:rRNA from 1 species
GGUUAAGCGACUAAGCGUACACGGUGGAUGCCCUGGCAGUCAGAGGCGAUGAAGGACGUGCUAAUCUGCGAUAAGCGUCGGUAAGGUGAUAUGAACCGUUAUAACCGGCGAUUUCCGAAUGGGGAAACCCAGUGUGUUUCGACACACUAUCAUUAACUGAAUCCAUAGGUUAAUGAGGCGAACCGGGGGAACUGAAACAUCUAAGUACCCCGAGGAAAAGAAAUCAACCGAGAUUCCCCCAGUAGCGGCGAGCGAACGGGGAGCAGCCCAGAGCCUGAAUCAGUGUGUGUGUUAGUGGAAGCGUCUGGAAAGGCGCGCGAUACAGGGUGACAGCCCCGUACACAAAAAUGCACAUGCUGUGAGCUCGAUGAGUAGGGCGGGACACGUGGUAUCCUGUCUGAAUAUGGGGGGACCAUCCUCCAAGGCUAAAUACUCCUGACUGACCGAUAGUGAACCAGUACCGUGAGGGAAAGGCGAAAAGAACCCCGGCGAGGGGAGUGAAAAAGAACCUGAAACCGUGUACGUACAAGCAGUGGGAGCACGCUUCGGCGUGUGACUGCGUACCUUUUGUAUAAUGGGUCAGCGACUUAUAUUCUGUAGCAAGGUUAACCGAAUAGGGGAGCCGAAGGGAAACCGAGUCUUAACUGGGCGUUAAGUUGCAGGGUAUAGACCCGAAACCCGGUGAUCUAGCCAUGGGCAGGUUGAAGGUUGGGUAACACUAACUGGAGGACCGAACCGACUAAUGUUGAAAAAUUAGCGGAUGACUUGUGGCUGGGGGUGAAAGGCCAAUCAAACCGGGAGAUAGCUGGUUCUCCCCGAAAGCUAUUUAGGUAGCGCCUCGUGAAUUCAUCUCCGGGGGUAGAGCACUGUUUCGGCAAGGGGGUCAUCCCGACUUACCAACCCGAUGCAAACUGCGAAUACCGGAGAAUGUUAUCACGGGAGACACACGGCGGGUGCUAACGUCCGUCGUGAAGAGGGAAACAACCCAGACCGCCAGCUAAGGUCCCAAAGUCAUGGUUAAGUGGGAAACGAUGUGGGAAGGCCCAGACAGCCAGGAUGUUGGCUUAGAAGCAGCCAUCAUUUAAAGAAAGCGUAAUAGCUCACUGGUCGAGUCGGCCUGCGCGGAAGAUGUAACGGGGCUAAACCAUGCACCGAAGCUGCGGCAGCGACGCUGAUGCGUUGUUGGGUAGGGGAGCGUUCUGUAAGCCUGCGAAGGUGUGCUGUGAGGCAUGCUGGAGGUAUCAGAAGUGCGAAUGCUGACAUAAGUAACGAUAAAGCGGGUGAAAAGCCCGCUCGCCGGAAGACCAAGGGUUCCUGUCCAACGUUAAUCGGGGCAGGGUGAGUCGACCCCUAAGGCGAGGCCGAAAGGCGUAGUCGAUGGGAAACAGGUUAAUAUUCCUGUACUUGGUGUUACUGCGAAGGGGGGACGGAGAAGGCUAUGUUGGCCGGGCGACGGUUGUCCCGGUUUAAGCGUGUAGGCUGGUUUUCCAGGCAAAUCCGGAAAAUCAAGGCUGAGGCGUGAUGACGAGGCACUACGGUGCUGAAGCAACAAAUGCCCUGCUUCCAGGAAAAGCCUCUAAGCAUCAGGUAACAUCAAAUCGUACCCCAAACCGACACAGGUGGUCAGGUAGAGAAUACCAAGGCGCUUGAGAGAACUCGGGUGAAGGAACUAGGCAAAAUGGUGCCGUAACUUCGGGAGAAGGCACGCUGAUAUGUAGGUGAAGUCCCUCGCGGAUGGAGCUGAAAUCAGUCGAAGAUACCAGCUGGCUGCAACUGUUUAUUAAAAACACAGCACUGUGCAAACACGAAAGUGGACGUAUACGGUGUGACGCCUGCCCGGUGCCGGAAGGUUAAUUGAUGGGGUCAGCGCAAGCGAAGCUCUUGAUCGAAGCCCCGGUAAACGGCGGCCGUAACUAUAACGGUCCUAAGGUAGCGAAAUUCCUUGUCGGGUAAGUUCCGACCUGCACGAAUGGCGUAAUGAUGGCCAGGCUGUCUCCACCCGAGACUCAGUGAAAUUGAACUCGCUGUGAAGAUGCAGUGUACCCGCGGCAAGACGGAAAGACCCCGUGAACCUUUACUAUAGCUUGACACUGAACAUUGAGCCUUGAUGUGUAGGAUAGGUGGGAGGCUUUGAAGUGUGGACGCCAGUCUGCAUGGAGCCGACCUUGAAAUACCACCCUUUAAUGUUUGAUGUUCUAACGUUGACCCGUGAUCCGGGUUGCGGACAGUGUCUGGUGGGUAGUUUGACUGGGGCGGUCUCCUCCUAAAGAGUAACGGAGGAGCACGAAGGUUGGCUAAUCCUGGUCGGACAUCAGGAGGUUAGUGCAAUGGCAUAAGCCAGCUUGACUGCGAGCGUGACGGCGCGAGCAGGUGCGAAAGCAGGUCAUAGUGAUCCGGUGGUUCUGAAUGGAAGGGCCAUCGCUCAACGGAUAAAAGGUACUCCGGGGAUAACAGGCUGAUACCGCCCAAGAGUUCAUAUCGACGGCGGUGUUUGGCACCUCGAUGUCGGCUCAUCACAUCCUGGGGCUGAAGUAGGUCCCAAGGGUAUGGCUGUUCGCCAUUUAAAGUGGUACGCGAGCUGGGUUUAGAACGUCGUGAGACAGUUCGGUCCCUAUCUGCCGUGGGCGCUGGAGAACUGAGGGGGGCUGCUCCUAGUACGAGAGGACCGGAGUGGACGCAUCACUGGUGUUCGGGUUGUCAUGCCAAUGGCACUGCCCGGUAGCUAAAUGCGGAAGAGAUAAGUGCUGAAAGCAUCUAAGCACGAAACUUGCCCCGAGAUGAGUUCUCCCUGACCCUUUAAGGGUCCUGAAGGAACGUUGAAGACGACGACGUUGAUAGGCCGGGUGUGUAAGCGCAGCGAUGCGUUGAGCUAACCGGUACUAAUGAACCGUGAGGCUUAACCUU